CUCAGAUUGAACGCUGGCGGCAUUGCUUUACACAUGCAAGUCGAACGGCAGCACGGGCUUCGGCCUGGUGGCGAGUGGCGAACGGGUGAGUAAUGCAUCGGAACGUACCGUGUAAUGGGGGAUAACGUAGCGAAAGUUACGCUAAUACCGCAUACGCCCUGAGGGGGAAAGUGGGGGACCGCAAGGCCUCACGUUAUACGAGCGGCCGAUGUCGGAUUAGCUAGUUGGUGGGGUAAAGGCCUACCAAGGCGACGAUCCGUAGCGGGUCUGAGAGGAUGAUCCGCCACACUGGGACUGAGACACGGCCCAGACUCCUACGGGAGGCAGCAGUGGGGAAUUUUGGACAAUGGGGGCAACCCUGAUCCAGCAAUGCCGCGUGAGUGAAGAAGGCCUUCGGGUUGUAAAGCUCUUUUGUCAGGGAAGAAACAGCAGCUCUAACACAGUCUGCGAAUGACGGUACCUGAAGAAUAAGCACCGGCUAACUACGUG
rnacentral:rRNA from 1 species